rnacentral:rRNA from 1 species
CUACGGGGUGCAGCAGUGGGGAAUAUUGCACAAUGGGCGCAAGCCUGAUGCAGCCAUGCCGCGUGUAUGAAGAAGGCCUUCGGGUUGUAAAGUACUUUCAGCGGGGAGGAAGGGAGUAAAGUUAAUACCUUUGCUCAUUGACGUUACCCGCAGAAGAAGCGCCGGCUAACUCCGUGCCAGCAGCCGCGGUAAUACGGAGGGUGCAAGCGUUAAUCGGAAUUACUGGGCGUAAAGCGCACGCAGGCGGUUUGUUAAGUCAGAUGGGAAAUCCCCGGGCUCAACCUGGGAACUGCAUCUGAUACUGGCAAGCUUGAGUCUCGUAGAGGGGGGUAGAAUUCCAGGUGUAGCGGUGAAAUGCGUAGAGAUCUGGAGGAAUACCGGUGGCGAAGGCGGCCCCCUGGACGAAGACUGACGCUCAGGUGCGAAAGCGUGGGGAGCAAACAGGAUUAGAUACCCCAGUAGUC